ACUACGCUCACCUCCUGCCGCUCAGGGGUGCUCCUCCUCCUGUCUCUGUCCGCCGGGCCUCCCCCAGGAUGCAGCCUCCCUCUGUCCUUCUCCAGGCCCGGUGGAGCUGCUGUCAGCCUCACGGCCCCCCUCCCCGCCCCGUGGACCGUGGCCUCAUCACACUGUCUUGGGUCCUCUGAACGCCGAUUGUGCCACCAGGCUGCCGACCGGGCGGACCGGGGUUUGCUGUUGUACUUGGGAUCAGCAGAGUUCCUGGCACAAAGUGUACCAACAAAUGUUCCUGUAAUGAAUGAGUGAGUGAUGGUGAGGCGGAUGCCUGGCUUCGGUGACCUCGGGAGGGCUGCCCUCAGCCGCUCCGCGGCCUUCAUGGUUUCCUCCCUGACUCUCCUUCCCCACCUCGUGUUUCCCCGUCAGCUCCGUGGAAAAUGGAAGUUCCUAUGGCCAGGAGCCUCAGCUGUCCCUAACUACCUGAUGAUGUCACUGUAGCCAGCAGGGCAGGAUGAGUUCCACUGGGAUUUUUGGGCAGUUUGUGGAUCAGUGUAUCAAGGCCAUGGGAUGAUAAUGGAAGAAGUGGUACCUUGCAAUUUUUCCAACAGGAAGAAACCUACUUUACUACCCCAGUAGGAGGAAGGAAGAUUUUCUCCUGGCCCAGCAACAGCCCAGCCAAUGA